rnacentral:rRNA from 1 species
UAACCUGCCUUGGAUGGGGAAUAACAGCUGGAAACAGCUGCUAAUACCGCAUAAUAUGUCUGUGUCGCAUGGCACUGGACAUCAAAGAUUUAUCGCUCUGAGAUGGACUCGCGUCUGAUUAGCUAGUUGGCGGGGUAACGGCCCACCAAGGCGACGAUCAGUAGCCGGACUGAGAGGUUGGCCGGCCACAUUGGGACUGAGACACGGCCCAGACUCCUACGGGAGGCAGCAG